CCACCGCGACCACCAACCCCACGACGGCCCACCACAUGUCUACGCACCGGCCGCAGGCCCGCCCCAUCCCGCCGGAGCAAACCCCUCCUGCCCUGGCCCCUCCUCCUAGAUCUGCCUACGCGCGGGGGCGCUAGUCGGCUGGGGCAGGGGAGCUCGGCGGGGAAUGGCCGGAGACGUCGGCCGCGCCGGUGAGCUGCCCCGGGGUGGUGGAAUCUCUCUUCCUUUUGGUAGUAUAAUCCACGGCUCAAGGAGAGUGGGAAGGCUGGAGACUUGUGGAGGGAGAGCAGUAGAAGGAAGAGACGCGAGACUCGCC
rnacentral:lncRNA from 1 species